GUAGAUGUUCAGGUGUUGAUCACCGGUCCACAGGUAUCCUGAGGUGUACCCUGCCGUACUGAGGACACUGGGAGGGUGGUGAACUUAAUCAGGGUACUUCACUGUACUGUCCGACCGACAUGAUGUAUCAUUCCUACCAACAUAGAUACAGGAACGAUUAUGGCUAGAUUAUGGGCACCAGAGUCAAAUUCCUGGGUGAUAUAAGUGCUAUGGAGCCUACUGUAUGUAUAAAGAUGUCUGGUGAAGGUGAAGAAUGACUUAUUCCGUCUUUGCGCAGUGCAGAGUUAUCUUCUCUUGAGAGCAGGUAUUGAUUGUUACGUCAUUGGUUUG